rnacentral:rRNA from 1 species
CCUACGGGAGGCAGCAGUGAGGAAUAUUGGUCAAUGGGCGCGAGCCUGAACCAGCCAAGUAGCGUGAAGGAUGACUGCCCUCCGGUUUGUAAACUUCUUUUAUAAAGGAAUAAAGUGAGGCACGUGUGCCUUUUUGUAUGUACUUUAUGAAUAAGGAUCGGCUAACUCCGUGCCAGCAGCCGCGGUAAUACGGAGGAUCCGAGCGUUAUCCGGAUUUAUUGGGUUUAAAGGGAGCGUAGAUGGGUUGUUAAGUCAGUUGUGAAAGUUUGCGGCUCAACCGUAAAAUUGCAAUUGAUACUGGCAGCCUUGAGUACAGUUGAGGUAGGCGGAAUUCGUGGUGUAGCGGUGAAAUGCUUAGAUAUAACGAAGAACUCCGAUUGCGAAGGCAGCCUACUAAAC